rnacentral:rRNA from 1 species
AACGAACGCUGGCGGCAUGCCUAACACAUGCAAGUCGAACGAGACCUUCGGGUCUUGUGGCGCACGGGUGCGUAACGCGGGGGAACCUGCCCUUAGGUACGGAAUAACUCCCCGAAAGGGGUGCUAAUACCGGAUAAUGUCUUCGGACCAAAGAUUUAUUGCCUUUGGAUGGGCCCGCGUUGGAUUGGCUGGUUGGUAGGGUAAAAGCCUAACAAGGCGACGAUCCAUAGCUGGUCUGAGAGGAUGAUCAGCCACACUGGAACUGAGACACGGCCCAGACUCCUACGGGAGGCAGCAGUGGGGAAUAUUGGACAAUGGGCGAAGGCCUGAUCCAGCAAUGCCGCGUAAGUGAUGAAGGCCUUAGGGUUGUAAAGCUCUUUUACCCGGGAUGAUAAUGACGGUACCGGGAGAAUAAGCUCCGGCUAACUCCGUG